rnacentral:tmRNA from 1 species
GGGGGCGACACGGUUUCGACGGGAGCUGUCGCCGCCAGAAGGCAUGCCGGGUGCCACCUGCCCGUAAUCGGGUGGACCAACACAACUGCCAACCAACCGUUGGCUCUGGCUGCUUAAUUAAGUAGCCCGUCUCCUCGGGUUUGGCCCGCGGGCCCGAGAGGAGGCGUCGCACAGCGGGCUGGCCGCAGCCGCUCGGCCCGGGCGGCAGCGGCGAGAACGAUCGGGCUAGCCGGCAGCGCGUCUGGCCCGUUCUAAGCGUUGCACGGCGAAGCGCGUUCUCCGCCGGUCGCCUCGUCAGAGGCUGCUGGCAGGAACAACGCACGGGAGCGGGAUAAGCAUGUAGACUUCUGGCCGCAAAGCUUUUCGGACGGGGGUUCGACUCCCCCCGCCUCCAAAA